UUAGCUUGUCCUAAGUCAAAGUUAUCUAACUUCGACCAAGUCUAUAUAAAAAUAUGUUAACAUCUAUAAUACUAAAUAAAUACGCUCUAAAAACGUAUUUCAUGGUGAAUUUAAUGAAACUAAUUUGAUGUUGUAGAUGUUAGUGUAUUUUCUUAUAAAUUUGGUCAAAAUUCGAGAAGUUUGACUCAGAAUAAAAUUUA
rnacentral:pre_miRNA from 1 species